rnacentral:ncRNA from 1 species
UGUGGUAGUGUGAAGGUUUAAUCCUCCCACCACAUAAAGCACAGCUAACUCAGUUGGAGAAGCAAAAGAAAAGCUGUAUUUUACAAGCAGAAUGAAAUACAAUGAAUAUGUACAAAUAUACAGUAUUUACAGUAUAUACAAAAUUCACAGGAGAGAACGUAACACAGAAAAAAAUGCAGUUCUACUCUUUGACCACCUCUUUUCCCUUCAGAGCACAAAUGAAGAAUAGUUAGACUACUGUAUAUCUGCACUGCAAGAGAUUGAAACCCUUUCAACCUGUGCAUUACUUAGCGUUUGUGCCUACCAUGGUGACCACGGGUGAUGGGGAAUCAGGGUUUGAUUCCAGAGAGGGAGCCAGAGAAACAGCUACCACAUCCAAGGAAGGCAGCAGGCACUCAAAUUACCCACUCCCGACCUGGGGAGGUAGUGACGAAAAAUAACAAUACAGGACUCUUUUGAGGCCCUGUAAUUGGAAUGAGCACACUUUAAAUCCUUGAGUGAGGAUCCAUUGGAGGGCAAGUCUGGUGCCAGCAGUGGUGGUAAUUCCAGUUCCAAUAACGUA